GACGAACGCUGGCGGCGUGCUUAACACAUGCAAGUCGAACGGAGUGGCGAACGGGUGAGUAACACGUGGGUGACCUGCCCUGCACUUCGGGAUAAGCCUGGGAAACUGGGUCUAAUACCGGAUAGUGUGGGAUGGGCCCGCGGCCUAUCAGCUUGUUGGUGGGGUAAUGGCCUACCAAGGCGGCGACGGGUCGCCGGCCUGAGAGGGUGGACGGGCACAUUGGGACUGAGGCACGGCCCAGAGACGUACGGGAGGCAGCGGGGGGGAAGAUUGCACAAUGAGGGGAAGCCUGAUGCAGCGACGCCGCGUGGGGGAAGACUGCCUUCGGGUUGUAAACUCCUUUCACCAUAGACGCGGUAGAUGGAGAAGAAGCACCGGCUAACUACGUGCCAGCAGCCGCGGUAAUAC
rnacentral:rRNA from 1 species